AACGAACGCUGACGGCAGGCCUAACACAUGCAAGUCGAGCGAAGCCUUCGGGCUUAGCGGCGGACGGGUGAGUAACGCGUGGGAACGUGCCCUUUGGUACGGAAUAGCCCCGGGAAACUGGGAGUAAUACCGUAUGUGGUCGAGAGACGAAAGAUUUAUCGCCAAAGGAUCGGCCCGCGUUGGAUUAGGUAGUUGGUGGGGUAAUGGCCUACCAAGCCGACGAUCCAUAGCUGGUUUGAGAGGAUGAUCAGCCACACUGGGACUGAGACACGGCCCAGACGCCUACGGGAGGCAGCAGUGGGGAAUCUUAGACAAUGGGGGAAACCCUGAUCUAGCCAUGCCGCGUGAUCGAUGAAGGCCUUAGGGUUGUAAAGAUCUUUCAGUGGGGAAAAUAAUGACUGUACCCACAGAAGAAGCCCCGGCUAACUCCGUGCCAGCCGCCGCCGUAACAC
rnacentral:rRNA from 1 species